UGUAAAUGAAAUUUUGAGCAUGGUGAAAGCUGUGAGCUUAAACAUGGAAAAGGAGAAAAACAGGAUUCAAAGCAGCAUAUCAUAUCAACAACCACGUGUACCCACACCUUCGGAAACCGUUUGUCGUCCUGGAACUGCUUUUUCCCCCCAGUUUUGUAUAGGUCAAUGAUCACAGCCGUCCCAUUUUGCUGGCAGACAGGGGGCGAUGAUGAUAACAUAACACAACACCCC